UACAGGCUUAACACAUGCAAGUCGAGGGGAAACGACAUCGAAAGCUUGCUUUUGAUGGGCGUCGACCGGCGCACGGGUGAGUAACGCGUAUCCAACCUGCCCACCACUUGGGGAUAACCUUGCGAAAGUAAGACUAAUACCCAAUGACGUCUCUAGAAGACAUCUGAAAGAGAUUAAAGAUUUAUCGGUGAUGGAUGGGGAUGCGUCUGAUUAGCUUGUUGGCGGGGUAACGGCCCACCAAGGCGACGAUCAGUAGGGGUUCUGAGAGGAAGGUCCCCCACAUUGGAACUGAGACACGGUCCAAACUCCUACGGGAGGCAGCAGUGAGGAAUAUUGGUCAAUGGACGAGAGUCUGAACCAGCCAAGUAGCGUGCAGGAUGACGGCCCUAUGGGUUGUAAACUGCUUUUAUAAGGGAAUAAAGUGAGUCUCGUGAGACUUUUUGCAUGUACCUUAUGAAUAAGGACCGGCUAAUUCCGUGCCAGCAGCCGCGGUAAUACGGAAGGUCCGGGCGUUAUCCGGAUUUAUUGGGUUUAAAGGGAGCGUAGGCCGGAGAUUAAGCGUGUUGUGAAAUGUAGACGCUCAACGUCUGCACUGCAGCGCGAACUGGUUUCCUUGAGUACGCACAAAGUGGGCGGAAUUCGUGGUGUAGCGGUGAAAUGCUUAGAUAUCACGAAGAACUCCGAUUGCGAAGGCAGCUCACUGGAGCGCAACUGACGCUGAAGCUCGAAAGUGCGGGUAUCGAACAGGAUUAGAUACCCUGGUAGUCCGCACGGUAAACGAUGGAUGCCCGCUGUUGGUCUGAAUAGGUCAGCGGCCAAGCGAAAGCAUUAAGCAUCCCACCUGGGGAGUACGCCGGCAACGGUGAAACUCAAAGGAAUUGACGGGGGCCCGCACAAGCGGAGGAACAUGUGGUUUAAUUCGAUGAUACGCGAGGAACCUUACCCGGGCUUGAAUUGCAGAGGAAGGAUUUGGAGACAAUGACGCCCUUCGGGGCCUCUGUGAAGGUGCUGCAUGGUUGUCGUCAGCUCGUGCCGUGAGGUGUCGGCUUAAGUGCCAUAACGAGCGCAACCCCUCUCCUUAGUUGCCAUCAGGUCAAGCUGGGCACUCUGGGGACACUGCCACCGUAAGGUGUGAGGAAGGUGGGGAUGA
rnacentral:rRNA from 1 species